UGAAGAGCAUGCACAUGAGGUUUACUUCACUAGCUACCCAAGGUAGAGUUGGACAGUACCAGGCAGGACUCUGACCAGAGAGGUUGGGUGUAUAGUAUAGGGCUAUAUAUAGGAGGGCUGGGUGCCUAAACUCCUACUAUGGUGCCUGUCAAGAUGACAUUAUAUUAGCUGGGUGCUAAUUAUGGUUGUGUGCCUGUAAAUAUGUUAUUUUCAAGCUGUGUGCUUCGAAGCUGUGACGUCUGUGGCUGUGUGCCCUUUGUACAGUGUUUGUAGGACUGUGUCCAUGUGGCUGUGUGCCCUUCGUCAAGGACUGUGUGUCCAGUUGGCUGUGUGCCUAUUUUGAAGGACUGUGUGUCCGAACGGCUGUGUGCCUAUUUUUCCAAGGACUGUGUGUCCAUAAAAGUCUGUGGUAAAGCCUGUGUCCAGGGUUUUCCGGAUGAAGUAACUUGGGGAGUUGAUGUAACCUCUAUAUACGACCUUGAAGAGUCUAUAUACGACCUUGAGGAGUUUAUAUACGACCUUGAGGAGUCUAUGUAUGACCUUGAUGAACCUGAAGAUACCUAGGCCUCAGAGGAACCUACACAAUGACCUUGAGGAGCCUAUUUAACCUUGAAACCUAUGCGACCUUGAGUUAACCUUGUUGGGACAUCCCAUCGGAUACGUUGGGAAGACCAGUGAAAUCAGACCAGUGAUGAAAUUGUACCUGUUAAAGACAUUCGCGCGUGUUAAAUUUAAAAUUACUUGCAAUUGGACUCUAGGCUAAUUCUGUAAUUUAAAGUACAUAACGUAGGUGUAAGUAUCUUUAGGUGUGUGUGAGAGAAACCUGCAAGAUUAACGAUUAUGCAUUUCAUGUUUGUUUUGUUGUGUUUAGUUUGUAAAUAAAUGUACAUAAUUUGUUA